GUGACAGGUGGUGCAUGGUUGUCGUCAGCUCGUGUCGUGAGAUGUUGGGUUAAGUCCCGCAACGAGCGCAACCCUUGCCUUUAGUUGCCAGCAUUAAGUUGGGCACUCUAGAGGGACUGCCGAGGAUAACUCGGAGGAAGGUGGGGAUGACGUCAAAUCAUCAUGCCCCUUAUGCUUAGGGCUACACACGUGCUACAAUGGG
rnacentral:rRNA from 1 species